rnacentral:rRNA from 1 species
CGCGCAGGCGGCUGAUCAAGUCCGAUGUGAAAUCUUCCGGCUUAACUAGAAAACGGCAUCGGAUACUGGUCGGCUGGAAGGUGGGAGAGGGUAGCGGAAUUCCCGGUGUAGUGGUGAAAUGCGUAGAUAUCGGGAGGAACACCAGUGGCGAAAGCGGCUACCUGGCCCACUCUUGACGCUGAGGCGCGAAAGCUAGGGAGCAAACG